UGUAAGAUUGUUUUGAAUUUGUUGCCUCGUGCCUGCGCCGCCAUUGUAAUUUUACUGCGAAAGAUUGGUUUUGACUUUUCAAUAAUUGAAAUCAUUGAAAUUCGCAUGAGCGCCGCUGGAAUUACUAAUAAUAAGGAUAAAUCUUUCUUGUUAAUUAAUUAUCUUCACUAUUUAAAUAAAUUUUGAUUAAUAAAAAGAUAUAAAAUGUAGUUCGAUUCGUGCUUGGUUAUUGAUAAAAGUAAUUUUGUUUUAAAUGUGUUAUUCCCAAGUGUAAAACGCGAUCAAAUUACGUGCUGUACCUUUUACUGAUAGUGAUAACACUAGAUGGGAGGCAUCGUUCAUCAAUUGUCCAAUAUUACGGAAAUAUACUCGUAGGCAGUUAGAAAACGUUAAAAUUUGUGAAAACCACUUUCUACCCAGAAAAAAGACCUACUUAUUGGUAAUCAACGUGCACAGUGGUCCAUCAUUGAGGAGCUCUAUGCUACAGAUGGUGAAGCCGGACGUGCAAGAACCACAACCCUGACGGAUAAACACAUUAGACCAACUUCUUAUGACAAGAUGAA